rnacentral:rRNA from 1 species
UACGUAGGGUGCGAGCGUUAAUCGGAAUUACUGGGCGUAAAGCGUGCGUAGGUGGUUUUUUAAGUCCGUUGUGAAAGCCCUGGGCUCAACCUGGGAAUGGCAGUGGAUACUGGAAAGCUAGAGUGCGGUAGAGGGGUAGUGGAAUUCCCGGUGUAGCAGUGAAAUGCGUAGAGAUCGGGAGGAACACCAGUGGCGAAGGCGGCUACCUGGACCAGCACUGACACUGAGGCACGAAAGCGUGGGGAGCAAACAGGG